rnacentral:rRNA from 1 species
UACGUAGGGGGCAAGCGUUGUCCGGAUUUAUUGGGCGUAAAGAGCGUGUAGGCGGCCCGGUAAGUCCGUUGUGAAAGUCCAGGGCUCAACCCUGGAAUGCCGAUGGAUACUGCCGGGCUAGAGUUCGGAAGAGGCGAGUGGAAUUCCUGGUGUAGCGGUGGAAUGCGCAGAUAUCAGGAGGAACACCUAUAGCGAAGGCAGCUCGCUGGGACGACACUGACGUGAGACGCGAAAGCGUGGGGAGCGAACAGGAUUAGAUACC